rfam:Parcubacteria (Magasanikbacteria) bacterium GW2011_GWA2_37_8 TS58_C0013, whole genome shotgun sequence.
GCGCCUGUAACUCAGCGGUUAGAGUGCCACCCUUAUAAGGUGGAAGUCGAUGGUCCGAUUCCAUCCAGGCGCA